rnacentral:rRNA from 1 species
GACGCUGGCGGCGUGCUUAACACAUGCAAGUCGAACGGUGACGAAUGGAGCUUGCUCUGUUCUGAUCAGUGGCGAACGGUGAGUAACACGUGAGUACCUGCCCCUGACUCUGGAAUAACUUCGGGAAACCGAAGCUAAUACCGGAUAUGACACAGAGCCGCAUGGUUUCUGUGUGGAAAGUUUUCGGUUGGGAUGGACUCGCGGCCUAUCAGCUUGUUGGUGAGGUAAUGGCUCACCAAGGCGACGACGGGUAGCCGGCCUGAGAGGGCGACCGGCCACACUGGGACUGAGACACGGCCCAGACUCCUACGGGAGGCAGCAGUGGGGAAUAUUGCACAAUGGGCGAAAGCCUGAUGCAGCGACGCCGCGUGAGGGAUGAAGGCCUUCGGGUUGUAAACCUCUUUCAGUAGGGAAGAAGCGCAAGUGACGGUACCUACAGAAGAAGCACCGGCUAACUACGUG